rnacentral:rRNA from 1 species
CGGGCGCACGGCGGAUGCCUUGGCACAGGGAGCCGAUGAAGGACGCGGCAAGCUGCGAUAAUCCCCGGCGAGGAGCACACAUCCUUCGACCCGGGGGUCUCCGAAUGGGCGAACCCAUCCACAGCAGUGUGGAUAUCCCCACCCCGAACACAUAGGGGCGGGGAGGACAACCCGGGGAACUGAAACAUCUAAGUACCCGGAGGAGAGGAAAUCAAUCUCGAGACUCCCCGAGUAGCGGCGAGCGAAAGGGGACCGAUGGCCAAACCGUCGAGCGGGCAUACCCGGCAGGGGUUCCGCCGACGGGGUUGCAGGGCCGCGCAUCCGGGGGCUGCCGCCCCCGGGCGCAGGUCCGGCUGGGGAGCGGAACGGCAUGGGAGGGCCGGCCGCAGCGGGUGACAGCCCCGUACGCGAACCCAGACCGGACGGCGCGACGCGGUCCCUGAGUAGGGCCGGGCACGUGAAACCCGGUCCGAACCUGGGUGGACCACCAUCCAAGCCUGAGUACUACCCUGUGACCGAUAGCGCACCAGUACCGUGAGGGAAAGGUGAAAAGCACCCCGGGAGGGGAGUGAAACAGUACCUGAAACCGUGCGCCCACGAGCAGUCGGAGCACCCUUGUGGUGUGACGGCGUGCCUUUUGUAGAAUGAGCCAGCGAGUCGCUGGCGCGGGGCGAGGUUAACCGAAAGGGAGCCGUAGCGAAAGCGAGCCUUAACAGGGCGACUUGAGUCCCGCGCCGCGGACGCGAAGCCGGGUGAGCUAUCCGUGGGCAGGCUGAAGCGGGGGUAAGACCCCGUGGAGGGCCGAACGCACGUCGGUUGAAAACGGCGGCGAUGACCUGCGGAUAGGGGUGAAAGGCCAAUCAAACCCGGAGAUAUCUCGUUCUCCCCGAAAUAGCUUUAGGGCUAGCGUCGCGCGUUCACCGCCGGAGGUAGAGCACCGGAUGGACGAGGGGGCUUCGCCGCCUACCGAAUCCAACCGAACUCCGAAUGCCGGCGGCCCAGAGCGCGGCAGUCAGAGCAUGUGGGCUAAGCUGUGUGCUCGAGAGGGAAACAGCCCGGACCGCCCGCUAAGGUCCCCAAGUUCCAGCCGAGUGGCAAAGGAUGUGCGUCCGCCCAGACAACCAGGAUGUUGGCUUAGAAGCAGCCAUGCAUUCAAAGAGUGCGUAACAGCUCACUGGUCGAGUGGACAUGCGCCGACAAUACACGGGGCUAAGCUGGACACCGAAGCGGCGGGAUUUUAUUUCAUAGAAUCGGUAGGGGAGCUUCCCAUGGGCGGUGAAGCCGCCGGGCGACCGGCGGUGGAGCGCAUGGGAGUGAGAAUGCUGGCAUGAGUAGCGAGAGACGAGAGAGUAACUCGUCCGCCGUGAACCCGAGGUUUCCUGGGCAAGGCUAAUCCUCCCAGGGUCAGUCGGGGGCUAAGGCGAGGCCGGUAGGCGUAGCCGACGCGCAGCAGGCAGACAUUCCUGCACCGCGCACGCGGCGCUACGACCGACGGGGCGACGGAUGGGGGUGGCUCGGCGGGGUUCUGGACGUCCCCGUGAUGGAGCGCGGCCCGCGGACCAGGGAAAUCCGGUCCGCACGAGGGCGAGGCUCCGGACGAAGCGAUCAAGCGAAGCGAGUGAGCCCGAGGUCCCUAGAAAAACCCCUAGGCAGGCGCGUGCGCGCCCGUACCGCAAACCGACACAGGUGGGUGGGUAGAACAUACCGAGGCGAUCGGGUCAACCAUGGUCAAGGAACUCGGCACAAUGGCCCCGUAACUUCGGGAGAAGGGGUGCCCGCGCGUACGUGAACGGACUUGCUCCGGGAGCGGAGGCGGGCCGCAGUGGAGAGGCCCAAGCGACUGUUUACCAAAAACACAGGACUCUGCAGAAGCCGCAAGGCGACGUAUAGGGUCUGACGCCUGCCCGGUGCCGGAAGGUCACGCGGAGGAGUUAGCCGCAAGGCGAAGCCCCGAAGCCAAGCCCCGGUAAACGGCGGCCGUAACUAUAACGGUCCUAAGGUAGCGAAAUUCCUUGUCGGGUAAGUUCCGACCUGCACGAAAGGCGCAACGACUUGGGCGCUGUCUCGACCAUGGACCCGGUGAAAUUGCACUGGUCGUGAAGAUGCGACUUACCCGCGGAAGGACGGAAAGACCCCGUGAACCUUCACUGCAGCUUGGCAUUGGCCGCUGGUCCCGCGUGUAGAGGAUAGGCAGGAGGCACAGAUCCGGAGGCGCCAGCCCCCGGGGAGCCGCCCUUGGAAUACUGCCCUCGCGCGACCGGCGUCCUAACCCGAGGCCGUCGACCGGCUCGGGGACCGUGCCAGGCGGGCAGUUUGACUGGGGCGGUCGCCUCCUAAAGGGUAACGGAGGCGCGCGAAGGUCCGCUCGGGACGGUCGGCAACCGUCCUUUUGAAUGCAAGAGUACAAGCGGGCUUGACUGCGAGGCCCACAAGCCGAGCAGGUGCGAAAGCAGGCUCUAGUGAUCCGGCGGCCCCGAGUGGGUGGGCCGUCGCUCAACGGAUAAAAGGUACUCCGGGGAUAACAGGCUGAUCUUGCCCAAGAGUCCACAUCGACGGCAAGGUUUGGCACCUCGAUGUCGGCUCAUCGCAUCCUGGGGCUGGAGCAGGUCCCAAGGGUACGGCUGUUCGCCGUUUAAAGCGGUACGCGAGCUGGGUUCAGAACGUCGUGAGACAGUUCGGUCCCUAUCCUCCGUGGGCGCAGGAGAAUCGAUGGAGGCUGCCCCCAGUACGAGAGGACCGGGGUGGACGCACCUCCGGUGAACCGGUUGUCGACCAACGGCACGGCCGGGUAGCCGCGUGCGGCGCGGAUAACCGCUGAAGGCAUCUAAGCGGGAAGCCGUUCCAGGGAUUAGUUCUCCUUCCGGUAAGGGCCCAGGUAGACUACCUGGUCGAUAGACGGCAGGUGCAAGGCUGGCGACAGCCUCAGCCGAGCCGCACUAAUCGCCCGAGCUCUUCCGGA